CCGGCACAGGCAUUCUCAGAAACUGAGCAUAGAAGUGAUGCAUACCCAAAUUGCAACAGCUCAACUGCGUGUGUGCUGGCUCCCCUCCCCCUAUUGCACACAUAUACAGAGUGGGAAUACGAAGAGGGAAACAGAAGAGAGGCAGAAGUGAAAGAGAGAUGAAGACGGUGAAGACAAAGAUGAAGAAACUAAAACAGACUUAAAAGGUUUUGAGGAUUCUCCACGUGCAGCUGACUCUUCUGUGUCCAGACCAAUUUUGGAUUCCUUUGUUUCAGUUGGAUUCAAAAGGACAAUUGAACUUUGCAGCUCUACAGCCAGUUUUAUUUGUAUUAGUGCUGUUGCCAGGGUUUGGGGGUGCAUGGGUGCAUGGGUUGUAGUAUUUUGUUAUCAUUGUUAUAUAUUAUAAUUGUUUGUGCUGUUUUGUUAUAAAAUUGUUGAUAAGAA